rnacentral:rRNA from 1 species
AUUGAACGCUGGCGGCAGGCCUAACACAUGCAAGUCGAACGGAAGAACCGUGCUUGCUUGUGGUUCCCGCGGGGGAGGGGCGGGUGAUGCAUGGGAAUAUCCCGAUCUACUUUUUGGAAGGUCAUAACGUAGGGGCACUUACUCCAAUACAGCAGACGACGUACGAGGGGGAGCAUGGGAACUUCCGAGCUCACGCGAGUGGAUGAGCGGAGGUCGAGUUAGCUAGUUGGCGGGGUAAAGGCCCACCGAGGCGACGAUCGGCAGCUGGUCUGAGAGGAUGAUCAGCCACACUGGAACUGAGACACGGUCCAGACUCCUACGGGAGGCAGCAGUGGGGAAUAUUGGACAAUGGGCGAAAGCCUGAUCCAGCCAGACCGCGUGUGUGAAGAAGGCCUUCGGGUUGUAAAGCCCUUUUACUGGGGAAGAAGCGCAGUAGGUUAAUACCAAGCUGUUGUGACGGUACCGAAAGAAUAAGCACCGGCUAACUUCGUG